GAGAUGUAAGAUUUCACAUUUGAUUACAAUGCAGUGCAGAUAGUUAGUGUUUCAUCUUUUUACCCUACGGAAGUUGGGUCCAAAUCUUUUCCAAAAAUCGUUUGAAGGCUCCCAGUAGCUUGAUCAAACAUCCCACAUAUUUUAUUCAUUUACUUUGCUUUGUUUGGUGUAGAUACGCGUGCUGGUCAUUGUAUUGUGCAAAAAAGGGUGAAUAAACUCACCGCUCUGUUUGUUCAACUGUUUGCAAAACCUUGGCGCUUGGACUAUAUAAAAACACUAUGACCGGCGUGAGUUCGUUCAUUGCCUGGACGGAUCAAAAUAAACCUGUAAAUAUGAAGAACUUGGUAGUGCUUGUGCUCUUGGUUGUGAUGCUUCUAGCUGUGAAUAUGGCUGAAGCCCAAUUUGGGUUCGGAGCACAAUCCACCAAACAACAACCUGCUACAGCUACUACGAGGAAAACUUCACCAACAACACCGACAAAGCCUACUACACCGACGAAGCCUACUACGCCAACAAAGCCUACACUGCCCACCCGUCCGACAACGACCUCUACUACGAAGCGCGCAACGCCUACUGUCGUCCCAACGAAACCAUCACCGACGCCAUCACGCAAGCCCUAAUUACUUCCCUUCUUCAGAGUUCUUUGAGCUUAUCGCACAGAAAGAGACCGUGAAAUUGGUGUUUCAAUAGAAUAAAAUCCGCCCCAAUAUA